rnacentral:rRNA from 1 species
UGGGGAAUAUUGCACAAUGGGCGCAAGCCUGAUGCAGCCAUGCCGCGUGUGUGAAGAAGGCCUUCGGGUUGUAAAGCACUUUCAGCGGGGAGGAAGGCGUUAAGGUUAAUAACCUUGGCGAUUGACGUUACCCGCAGAAGAAGCACCGGCUAACUCCGUGCCAGCAGCCGCGGUAAUACGGAGGGUGCAAGCGUUAAUCGGAAUUACUGGGCGUAAAGCGCACGCAGGCGGUUUGUUAAGUCAGAUGUGAAAUCCCCGGGCUCAACCUGGGAACUGCAUCUGAAACUGGCAAGCUUGAGUCUCGUAGAGGGGGGUAGAAUUCCAGGUGUAGCGGUGAAAUGCGUAGAGAUCUGGAGGAAUACCGGUGGCGAAGGCGGCCCCCUGGACGAAGACUGACGCUCAGGUGCGAAAGCGUGGGGAGCAAACAGG